GUGCUCACGUCAAUAGCACAUAUACUAAAAUAUAAACAAUACAGAAAAGAAUAUUAUGGCCUCUGUAUAAGGAUGAUGCGCAAAUGCCUAAAGUGUUCCAUAUCUUA